UGUUUGUCUCGACGUCGAAGCACAGCUCGACCAAGUCUUAAUGAAGGAGGAGGUCAAGAACAUAAUGACGAGAGGAAAAAAACUAACAAGAAGAUGCAUACCGAAACGAUUCACUAACGGAAGCGAUUAAAAUACUAUCAAUUCUCGAAACUAUUGGAUCGUUUUAGCAUAAAUUCAGAAAAAUCGAGGAAAUUUUAAGAAAAAUAUUUGUGAAAAUAUGCUGCCGACAGCGAUCGGCACGCGGUCUCGAGGAUCUUCGAGUUAAGCAGUCUUUCGGUCGGGAUCAGUACUCGGUGCGGU